CCCACUCCAGUGUUCUUGCCUGGAGAAUCCCAGGGACGGGGGAGCCUGGUGGGCUGCCGUCUCUGGGGUCGCACAGAGUCGGACACGACUGAAGCGACUUAGCAGCAGCAGCAGCAGCAGAAGGCUGUUGUAUGCAACUGAAUUUGACUAGUGGGUUUGAUUAGUAGAAGGACGGUUGGGAAAUGAGCUGAUAAAGAGGGGUGAUGAUAGGGAUUAGUUAGAGAGAAGACCUGGAGAGCCAGGGAAAGGCAUGUGUGUAAGUGCAGGAGCAGGAAUAGGCAAGGUUUGUUCCAGGUCAAGUGAGUGGACACAUUCAGUUGGGAUGGGGUUCGUCUUGGGGAGGGCAGUGAGUGCCCAAUUAGAGAUUUAAGCGUUAGGAAAUCUUGCAGAGGUUUUGAACAGGGACAUGUUUUAAGAAGUGUUUCGCCAAGCUUAUUCGUGAUUCUCAAUGCAGGGAGCCUUGAAAAAAAGGAUGGAGUGAGUUAGGGACAGUUUAGUUGUCCCUACACAAAAUUAUAAAUCAUAAUGGCUCUUAUUUCCUACUCCCUGAGUAAUAUAAUGAACUAAACCAAUGAAAAAAGCAAGGGUGCUUUGGAAAAAAAUAAAUGAUGUCUGAUUCUGGAUGGCACUUAAAACUUAAAACGGUAUGUUUUGAUAUAAUAACAUUUUAAAUUUCUUUUUCUAUUUAAUAUUGAUUAAUUCACUCUAUAUGUUUAAAAAGAUCAAUAUGGGAAAAUGAACAUUAUUUCCAUUCUCCUUUCAAAGGAAAAUAAUCUCCAGAUUAUUUUUCCAUCUGUUGUUUUUAAGUUGGUUUUUAAAGAACACAGUUUGUUUCUUUUGAGUAUGGCCAAAUCGUUUCAUUGUCAAUAUUUGAUUUUUCUUGGAAGUUGAGGGCAUGUCAGAGUUACUCAGGAGAAUGUUCUGGACUUUUCUUCUUAUCUUUUAAAGGCUUAUCUUUGAUAAGGUUGGACAUGGUGUGUACAUGGUGACUUUUAUCAUUCUUCUUGUCACUUUUCUAUAUUUACCUUGUUCUUAGUACGUAAUCUGAGAGUGCCUUCAAGAGAGUAGAAGAUAUUUGACUUCAGACACCACGUUUUGGGCAUUUUAAUAUAAUCAGGAGAAAAUUGAGUAUUAUAUUCCUCUAGGAGGAGAGAAUGCAUUGGCCUUGGUAGAAGUACUCAUCUUAAGUAUUCAGCAAAUAACUUAUUAAUCAUUUACUAGAAAUAAGGUAACAUGGUAUAUGUUGAUAGCAGAAAAAUAGUGAAAGUGGGGAAAUGUUCUUUCCUUCCAGACGUUCAGAUAUUGGUAGGGGAAAAGGCAAGACGUGUCGAGUGCUCUGUUAAAUGUAGACUACGAAGGACCCACGUGGCCCAAGAGAGGACAGUGCAACCACACCUUGGAGAUAUGGCGACUUCAGUCUCAGGCUCCCAAAAUAAAGCGCAUAUCACAAUGAAGCAGGUCUCGUGAAUUUUUUGGUUUCCCAGUACAUAUAGAAGUUAUGUUUGCACUAUACUGUAGUCUAUUAAAUGUGUAGAAGCAUUAUGUCUUAGAAAGCAGUGUACCUGUCUUAAUUUAAAAAUCCUUUACUGCUAAAAAAAAAAAAAAAAAUGCUAACCAUCUUUUAACAACCAGGGUGGCCACAGGCCUUCAGCUUGUAAAACAUGCAAGAUCUGUGAAGCAUAAUAAGGCAAAGAGCCAUGAAACGAGAUGUGCUUAUAUUGAUUCUUAGUUGAGGAGAAUGAGGACGAUUUCUGUGAGGGAGGUGGUGUUAAGGGAGGGCCCUGCAGACUGGCAGGGGAAAUGAAGGGACAGAGUGUGGGGCUGGGAGCCUAGGGCAUGUGUUCCAGAAAUGGCAGGUGGUUGAAAUGGAGCCUGGGGUGCACCGUGAAGCCUCACUCCUCAGUCAUUUAGCAGGCCAACUGUGGAGCAAGGCUGCUCACCUCACUCACGAGGAGCUCACCGACUUCUUCCUGGAUGGGUGGAAAAAGUUUGUCCAGUUGCCUCUGCCUCAAAGAGGGAGAAGGUCCACAUGUGGUUCCUUUGAUGUAUUAUCCCUUGGCAUAGCUAAGAGUUUGGUUCAAGUGUUUAUUUGAAACUUCACAGUCCUGUAGCUAAAGUGUGGAUAUUUUGAUGGUGAAAACCGUAGAUCUCCCUGUUCUUUCCCUUCCCUCCUAAGGGUGACCUGAGGAAUAUCUGCCAUAUCUCCUUGUCUUUCCUUUUUUCUCUCCUAAGAGAGUGUGAUGCCAGUUUCCUCUGCUUCCAAGGCUGCUCAGUUAUAACAGAGGUCAGUGGUAUGCAUGCAAGGCUGAAGUUAGAGAUUCCAAAAUAAUGUUGUGGAAUUCUCACAUAUCAGUAGAAUUGUGUUAUGGAUUUGAGGAAGCCUUGUAUACAGUGAAAGCGAGACCUCUGAGUUAAUUUAAAUAAGUUCACAGGACAUAUCUAUCAUUACAAGUAUAGCUAUAAAAUAUUUGCAAAGUUAAGGAGUUUUAAUAUCUGCAAAUAUGCAGAAAACAUGGGUACUAGAAAGUUUAGAUGGCCUUAAUGAAGAAACAAAGUCAACUUUGGAACUUUGCCUAACAGGAAUGAGGUUUGUGAAUUUGAUAAACAUUGUCGGUUGUUAAGGCAUCUUCUGAUAGGUGAAAAGUGGUUUUUUGAUGCAGUACUGCCUGGCAUGCAUCUUCUCUAUGGUCUAUUAUCUUGUGGGAAUGACAUUCGGUAAGUUGGUAUCUGUGUGCAUCCCACCCAAAUAAAGAAUGUUUCAUCAGCAAAGUGAAUUGCCAUUUAGUCAUCAGACUCUGGAAAUAAAUUAUCAGCCAUGACUGCAGUGGGUGAGGCUGUUUGUUUAUCAGAUCGCUUGAGAACUGAGUAAAGUGAAUUUCAUAUUUUCCUGAGUCUUGAAUUCUCAUUUUAGACAUCUGUUCGGAAGCUUUGUAAGGCAUGGAGUAUUCUAAACGAGCAUUUUGUUAAAUGGAUGAAGGAAGACUUAGUUUUCCAUUGUUAGGUGAAACCUAAUUAAAAAUUAAAUAAUGACCUGUGUUGGCUUGUAAAUUCCUUAUUUCCUGCAUGUAUGAGUGUGUUUUGUUAGAACAUUCCGUUUUAAAUUGUGCUUUUUUUUUUAUUGACAAGAAAUACUUUAAAGAUACUAUUUGUUAUUGGCCUCACUAUAGAGUAGCAAAGGACAGUCUUUUGUUGAAAGUGGAGGGGGUGGUAGACCUUAGAGGCAUGUAGCUUUAGGAACUGGAUUUUCUGUGAAUGUAGCAGAGUUAAAUUGUUCACAGAGGCAUCACUAUUUGCAUUAUAUAGGAAUUCUUUGUAAAUUUUAAUAAAUAAAAAUGUUUUCUCUUACAGGCCUGAUUCUCUAGUGGACUUCUGGUGAAUUGUGUGGCUACCUUCCAUUAAUGUUAAUGGAGGUUAUGGAUAUAAAUCCCUCCAUAGUGAUGGACGAAUGAGCCCCAGAGAAAGAAUGCUUGUAAUUAUUGGGUUGGGAUACAGGAUUUGCUUGGUCUCCCUAAUACCAUUUCUUUUCCUCCUAAAAAUUUAAGGUCUUACAUUUAGGAGCAAGCCUUUCUCCAUCCUAAUCUUUUGUUGUCAAGUCUGCAGUGAUGUUAAGAACAGAAAAAAUAGGGAUAAUUUUUUAUUGGUAGGCAUAGUUUUGAUGUUAUAUAAUGUAGAAUAUAUAUAUAUAUAUAUAUAUAUUUAUGUAUAUAUUAUAUAUACAGUUUUUUUGUUUUCCUUUCAGUUAAUAUUUUUUGGUAACCAUAACUUGAUUGUUUUAGAGGUCAUAAUAUUCUUCACUAAUAAGAGUUGCUUAAUAAUUCGUUGGGCUUCCCUGGUAGCUCAGCUGGUAAAGAAUCUGCCUGCAAUGCAGGAGACCCCAGUUCAAUCCCUGGGUUGGGAAGAUCCCCUGGAGGAGGAAAUGGCAACCCACUCCAAUAUUCUUGCCUGGGAAAUCCCAUGGACAGUGGAGCCUGGUGGGCUACAGUCCAUGGGGUCACAGAGUCGGACAUGACUUAGUGACUGAACAACAGCAACAAAUAAUUCAUUAUCCUGACAGACUGACAUUUAUCAUUUAGUUAUUAAAGCUCUCAGAUAUAUUUAUUGAGUGCCCACUGUGUAUAAGGCUCUGAGCUUAAAUGCAUAUGGCAUAGCCCUUGUCUCACAUUGCCUUUCAUCUUAUGAUAAAAGUAUAGCCAGUCCCUAAGAGACUGUCUCUUGGGCCACAGACUAUGAAAGUUGCCUUGGUUAAAGAAAGGGAAAGAAAUUCAGAACAGUAAUAUCACUUCUGGGAAUCUGAGUAGAGAAAAUAAGUCUAUAUGUAAUGAUGUUUUCAGUCAGUAUUGUUUUAGGUAGUCGAUUUAUCCAGCUAACUCACUGUUGGCUGUCCACUAUGUACCAGCCACUGUGCCAGGUACUGGGAAUGCUCCAGUGGACAAGGCAGGUGGAGCCCUGCUUUCAUGGGGUUUAAAGUUCAGGGAGGUGGGUAAACACAUAACUAAUUUCUAAAUGUGGUAAAUCUCUAAAGGGAACACAUGGUGAUAGAGAAUAAAUGAAAGGCCUUCUUUAGAUGGAAAUGUGGAGAAUCAGACCAUGGACACCUGAGCAUCCAAGUAGAGAGAUGAUUACGUGCAGAGAACUGGGUGGGGAUGGGAGAGAGAGAGAGAGAGAGAGAGAGAGAGAGAGAGAGAGAGAGAGAGUGUGUGUGUGUGUGUGUGUGUGUGUGUCCGUGUCCCAAGGACUGAAGACAGGAAGACCAUCGUGGACAGUGGUGUGUUGGGGGAGAGUGAUCUAGAGAGAGAGAACUAAAUUCCCUGGGAGAGGAAGAGUAGCUUGCUGUGAGAUUACAGAGCAAGUUAGUGGUGGUGGAGGUGGCAUUUGAAUCCGGGUGUGUCUGACCUGACUGUGCUGCGUCCUGCGACGUGUUAUAAGCACCAGAGGGUAAGCACCAAACACUAAUAGAGGAAAUAAUUGCUACAGACAUUCAGAUAAGAGGAAAAUCACUUUCAUCUGGCAGAUAGCUCAGGAUUCCCUUUUAAAAAAUGUCCAGAAUGAGAAAAAUCUUGUAAGUCUUUUCCUCCUGUAAUAUAAUCAGAAAGUUAUUCAGGCUAAUUUUCGGAUAAAUUAUUAUCUCUAGCUGAAAGGAAUAUUGUACACAAACUUUUUCUUUGGUAACUUUUCCCGUGAAAUCUUAAAUAUUUAUGCAUAUAAUUUGGUGAUUUUGUUCUUAUUUAUAUAUUUUUCUCCCUAGUGACACUUGCAAGAUCAUGCUUACCCAACUCCUAAAGUCCACACCACUAGUAAACCCUGCAACCUGUGUUCUUGGGCCAAGUGCUCUUCCUUUGUUACCAGGUCUACACAAUUAAUGGCUUUAUCAUAUGAAGUAAUUCAGUUACUCAGCAAAACAAAUGAUAUACACUUUUAGAAAUAGCUCUAGAAAGUAAACUUGAACCUAAAAGUGUUUAGUGAGAGGAAAUUUCUGUUUGUCUUUAAUUAAAAGAAACUGUAUGGAAAUGUAAGCUUAGGAUGCAUUAAUCAGAGAAGCUGGCGUCGCGCUGUGUUCUUCAUUUUUAUUUGGCAUAGAUUGCAUGGGUGCUCAUUAAAUAAUUUGGCUGAAAUAACUCUUGUGAUAUUUCUUGUUAAAUUUUUGCAUCUAUUCAGACUAUAACUCUGAAAAGUGAAAAAAUUCAAUCUUUGGGGUUGAAGUUUUGAGCCAUUUAUUGUAACUGAAAAUCUUUAUUAGGGAAAUACAUAUUCAUCAUCAUAUUUGCUUGCCUCAUUGUUGGGGAAGAAAUGUAUAUUAUGAGAUUAUAUAUAAUUUCAAUAAGAAACUAGUACACAUGUAGCACAUUUAUAGCUGGUAAGUAGAUACUUGUACUUAAUGCCUUUGAAUUUUAACAACUUGGUCUCUGCUCACUUUGUCUGUGAAUUUGCUAACUUUGGUAUUGUUUUUAAUACACAUGUGUUUAAUACACAUUUGAAGGAGAAAAUCUGCAUGUCUAGCGGCUUGGUAGGGUAUACUCACAUCUCAAAGGGAGCCUGAUCUUUAGAGAUAGCAUAUUUGGAUAAUCAAAGCCAAGGAAAAGGGAUUUCCCCCUUCACUUUUAUUUUUUGGUUCAUAUAGAUCAAACCAUGUUUCUUUGGCCUAUAUCAGGUGGUGUAAACUUGGCCAUAGGUUUGGUUUGGGCCCCUUAAUAUUUGUAAUUAUGAGAGGACAGGACUGAAUUAACUUAAUUGUAGAGUUUUACCCAGUGUCUUCACCAACCUCCUAAUAAAGUAAUAUGAAAUUCAGUAAGUUAUGCCAAGUGGGACAGUGCUUCACUCACAUAAGCUUCCUAAACGUGAUAUAUUCUUAUGGCGCUUCUCCAGAGUGUAGAAGAAACACAUUUAUCUAGGUGAUUAGUAUUCUUUCUGUCUGCCAGAUUUAAGGAUUGUUUGGAAAUAUUGUUAGAAUGAAAACCAACAUUUGUUGCUACACAGGGUUGGGCAUUCCAGGCAGACUCCGGUCGUUUUUAACGGUGUUGCUCUCAUGUCCACUUAUGUCACAUCUGCCGUGACAGUGACAGGUUUCAGUAACACAGCUGCCAUCAGAGUGAUAAGCUCGUGAGUGAAGCCUUUGGGAAAGUAAUAAAGUCAUUUCUGGUCCCAUCUCAAAGGACAUUACUGAAAAUGUCUUUAAAAGUGAUCAAGAUAACACCUAUGAGGCUGUGUAACGUUUGGGUGUUUAAAGUUACUAACAAUCUGCAGUUAAGUCCAUUUCAAGCUGAAAAGUGGCUCUUGCACAAACUCCCUUUUAAACACCAUAGCUGGUUCAAAGUUUUAGGAAAAUAUAAACAUCAGAAAUUAAUAGUCAAUUUCAAUAGUCAGUAGUCAAUAGAAAGUUCUAGGGCAGAAGAUACUUUUAAGUUUGUAGCUGCCCCGAUCAGAUUUAAAACUUGAACAUGGCAGUGCUUUGCAUUUUAUAAUGUCUAAUGAGGGCCUCGUGACUUAUUUUGUUAAUAGUAUCUAUUAGCUGUAGUACAGGUCCAGUUUUAAAAAUCUAGAAUAAAUUUACGAUAACUAUAUUAACAAAUUGCAAGGUCUUACAUUGACCUCCAGGACAUUAGGAAAUCAAAUUUAAAACGUUGCAUUGUCUGUUACUCAAUGCAGCGCACUGAGGACAGCGUGUGACUUGUGUACUAGGAAUGAUGCAAUCGCUAAAUAUUCUAGUGUGAGUUAAGGUUGAUUAAAUGAUCAUCUUUAACUCUGCUCCUCCUGGGGCUUUUUGAACUCUUGUUUUUCAGGUGAUAUUCCAUGCUGUAUCUAUUGUUCUUCUAAAAAGGUGUUCUCUUUGGGGCAAGAAAACAUAAAAGCUCUCUUGGAUUCUGGAUGGAGAUCAGCAACCUUAUGCGCAGAAUGUAAACAUAUACUGAGUUACUGCAAACUGACCCUCCUUUAAAAAAAAAAAAAAAACAAACCUGAGGAG